UACGUAGGGACCAAGCGUUGUUCGGAUUUACUGGGCGUAAAGGGCGCGUAGGCGGCGCGGUAAGUCACUUGUGAAAUCUCUGAGCUUAACUCAGAACGGCCAAGUGAUACUGCAGUGCUAGAGUGUGGAAGGGGCAAUCGGAAUUCUUGGUGUAGCGGUGAAAUGCGUAGAUAUCACUCGGAAGGCCAAAGGCGAAGGCAGGUUACUGGUACGCAACUGACGCUGAGGCACGAAAGCGUGGGGAGCAAACAGG
rnacentral:rRNA from 1 species